GUGCCGAAGCUAACGCGUUAAGCAUCCCGCCUGGGGAUUACGGCCGCAAGGCUUAAACUCAAACGAAUUUGACGGGGGCCCGCACAAGCAGCGGAGCGUGUGGUUUAAUUCGAUGCUACACGAAGAACCUUACCUGGGCUUGACAUGUAGGUAGUAGUGAAGCGAAAGCGGAACGACCCUUCGGGGAGCCUACACAGGUGCUGCAUGACUGUCGUCAGUUCGUGCCGUGAGGUGUCGGGUUAAGUCCCGUAACGAACGCAACCCUUGCCCUUAGUUACAUGUGUCUAAGGGGACUGCCCGGGACAACUGGGAGGAAGGUGGGGAUGACGUCAAGUCAGCAUGGCCUUUAUGUCCAGGGCUACACACACGCUACAAUGGCCGGUACAAUGGGUCGCCAAAGCCGUGAGGCGGAGCCAAUCCCCCAAAGCCGGUCUAAGUUCGGAUUGUGGGCUGCAACUCGCCCAUAUGAAGCUGGAGUUGCUAGUAACCGCGCGUCAGCAAUAGUGCGGUGAAUACGUUCCCGGGCCUUGUACACACCGCCCGUCACGUCAUGGAAGCUG
rnacentral:rRNA from 1 species